UCCGGCAUAGCUCAGUUGGUAGUAGCGCAUGACUGUUAAUCAUGAUGUCGUAGGUUCGAGUCCUACUGGCGGAGCUA
rnacentral:tRNA from 1 species